CCUACGGGUGGCAGCAGUGGGGAAUAUUGCACAAUGGGGGAAACCCUGAUGCAGCGACGCCGCGUGAGUGAAGAAGUAUUUCGGUUUGUAAAGUUCUAUCGUUAGGGAAGAUAAUGACGGUAUCUCAUUAAUAAGCCCCGGCUAACUACGUGCCAGCAGCCGCGGUAAUACGUAGGGUGCAAGCGUUACUCGGAAUCACUGGGCGUAAAGGGAGCGUAGACGGCAGAACAAGUCAGGGGUGAAAUCCCAGGGCUUAACCAGAGAACUGCGUUUGAAACUGUUGAGCUAGAGUGUAGGAGAGGUAAGUGGAAUUCCUAGUGUAGGGGUGAAAUGCGUAGAGAUUAGGAGGAAUAC
rnacentral:rRNA from 1 species